UUUUUGGUUUUUUUUUUUUUUUAAAGCAACUGCAAAAAUUAGAGAAAAGAAAAGCUGUUUUGCAAAAGUUAGACCAUUCAUAAUCGACGCACUUUGGAUUGCACCCAACCAGUGAAGGCAAGAGGGAACACAAUUUGUAAGUUUUAGGGCUCUCUAUGAGGUCACUGCUAAGUCUAUUUUAAUAGCAGACCUCCAGAAGAUUAUUAAUUUUUCAACAAUAAGCCUGAAAAGAAAAGAAACACUAAUUUCAUUCUCCCUGGAUGCCUAUAAACAUUCAUUAUUUUAAGCCUUUCUGUUCUCCUUUUCUAUUAUACUACAUUUUUUUUUCAAGGCCAGAGACAGACCUACUCUUUCUAUAUGCCAAGAGCAAAGCUGAUUUGGGUGGUAGUGACAUUCACCCGAUGUCAUUCUCCUGUACUUCUUUGGAAUGGAGUUCAGGUGAAUGCCUCACAGCCAUGAAGUAUUAUAGAUUAACCAUUGUUUUCCAGUAGCCUGGCAUAGUUCCUGGAACAGUGAUUUCCACUAAAGUUUAUUUAAGGGAAAAUUUAAAAUAGAGGAAGAUACAUAAAGAUAUUAGGAGUUGUCACAGAAAUUUAACAACAGGAGAAUAGAAUAACAACAGGAGAAAAGUAAACUCAGCAUGUUAGCACAUGCUCACAUAUUGUAGUUAAAAUAAGAUUUAAAAAUAUUCCAACUGGAGAUGAAAUAGCUAAUAAGAGUUUAUUUGUCAUACACACAAGAAAAAAAAAAAGUAUGAAAGAGUCCAGGACCAGACUAGAAUAAUAGCUCCAUGUCCACCAGAGACAUAGACUCUUUCUGUGAUUGCUAGGAUGUAGCCUUCAUCAUCAUACUCCAAAAAGGCUGCUGGAGUUCCAGCUAUCACAGCCACAUUUUAAGCAUCAGUAUCAGAAAAGUGGAAGGGAAGAAAGAGACUUCCCAUGAUUUCUAUACAACACAUUUUCUUACUUUUCACUACCAAGAACUUAAUCACCUACUUCAGUCAAAUACAAAGAAGGCUAUUGCCCAGUCAUAGGCUUCAUAACAGAGGAGCUAUAUGUUUAGCAACAGGAUACUAAGGUUAAUAACUCUAAAUAUAAAAAUGUUUAGGAGCUGACAGAGGAUUCCAUGUGUGCAUGUAUUCUGAGAGGGGAGGAAGGAGGACAGAGGAGUGAGCUGGCUCUUAGAAACCGAAAGCUUAAAGUAGCAAGAGGAGCAUCCAGCUCAUCUGGGGCCUGCUCUGACAGAAACAGAUGCACUUAUGGACAAAGUAAGGCAGAAUAAAUUAAAGGUAAACAGACAAUUUUCAAAUCGUCACUGUUGGUAUUGCCCAGUCUGGUUUACCAUAGAGAAACAUAAAGAGAUUCAGGCUGGAAGUUCAAGUCUAAGUGAAGAUUCAGCUGACAGCCUGGUGUCCCUGUGUGCUAAAUCUCUUUGAACUUGACUAUGACAAAGAGGAUAAAAAAGAGAGAUACCGUGACUCUGGGGUCAGGGGGAGCCCAGUGCUGCCUCUCUCUCCUGCUGAUACCUAUUGUUUAUCAUAUAUACCCUCAUUCUAGAUCAGUUCUCUCCCAGGCAUUCUGUAGCCCUGAAUAGUGUGACACGUAUGUUUGUAAUGAUAAUUUUCAGCCAAUAGUUGAGGGGAGUCGAAGAAAACCAACAACCAAGGAAUAUAGUGCCAGGAUGAGAUUCCUAGACAUCUCUGCCCUCAAGGAAAAAAGCAGUGAGGCAGAGAGCAGCAGUGCUAUUGUGAGGAAAAUCAUUUACUGAACCCCUGCUGACCACAGCUCCAGUCCCAAAUUAAGAAUAGAUGAAAAUGAAAAUAGCUAAGUUGGUAGGUAAGGCAUGUUUGGGUUUGUUUGUUUUUGGUAUGAUGGAAGGGAGGUGAGAUAUUAACUAUGACUAUAUAUUUCAUCUCUAAUCUCUCCCUUUCUACAGUAAACACUGGGAAUAAUCCAAAGCACAAAAGGGUGUGGACCAGUAGCCUUUUAAAGGAAUUUUAUAAAAUGUAUCUAUUCUCAGUGCCCUUCAGCAGGUUUCUGAGGCCUCUGACUUCUUCAGGUACUUUGGCUCAGAAAAUUAUUAAUCUUGGUGCUUUUAGUUUAGUGCCCACCCCAUGGCUUAUGAUGCAUUGCCAGAGUUUUGAAUAACUCAAAGUUUUGUGUAAGACCCAUUCUCUCCUUUACCCCUGAGUUUUUCUUUUGUUGGAAAAAGAAAAUCAAGAAUUCUCUGAACAUAUUCUCUUCUGUCUAUGUAUUCCUGGAAGGAUUAUAAUAGUCAGGACUUCCACAUUUUUCUUCAUAACUCAAUCUCAACUUAUCUCCAAUGAAUCAAAGGGUGGUAGGGUUUUUAAGAGGUGGAAUAGGGUGCAAGGAUCAUAGGAUGUCUGGGGUGAGGUCAAGGGCCAAGGGGCAGAAAGAAGCCUGCCCAAACUCUAGUCAAGUUGAGGGAAACACUAAGUCCAUCUUGGUCAAUUCUUACCAUAACUCCACGGAGUCAUGCAUUAAUAUGCCCAUUUUAGGGUAGAAGACCUAAACAGACAAUGUCCAAAGAAGACACUAGAUGGCCAACACACACAUGAAAAGUUGCUCAAUAUCGCCAAUUAUCAUGUUAUAGGCUUCAAGUCCCCAUCAAGAAGAUCAAACCCAAAAGCCACUGACCAGGUUUCAUUGUAAUACCCCUUCCCCCACCUUGAGCAACCUGGGCUGCUCACUCCCUGUUAGGGAAGAAAUGUCACCCAUUCCUUACCUUGCCUCUAUAUAACCUGUUCCUCAUGCUAAUAAGGUAUCCAGCCUGAAAACAACCAGAGGAUCAAAAUGCACCCUCAUACAGAGAUCAAACAACACUGCCCUUAGAGAUGGUGCAGCAGGGCUGGGACAGGAAAAUGAGUGGGGCUCAGGGCAGGAAAAUUCAGGUCCCCAACUACAUUCACUGUAUGCGGAUAUAAGGAAAGACCCAGCUGUGACCAGAGCCAGUCUGUACUCCAGGGUGGCCUGCUCUCUCUCUGAGGGCAUAAAUAAAAUUUGCUAUACACUACUACCAUUUGAGUUCGAUUGUGAUCCCCACAUUUCCCAGCCGGAAUAGUCCCCCUGCCAGACUGCCCACACCUCCAAAUCCUUGCUGCAUGUGGGCAAGAAUUGAGAGAAAUCACACAGAGGGACCAGACAAUUAGAGAAAUGCAAACCAAAACCACAAUGAGUAUGCCCUCACACUGGUCACAAUGGCCGUCAUCAAAAAGACCACAAAUAAUAAAUGCUGGAGAGGGUGUGGAAAAAAGGGAACCCUCCUAAACUGUUGGUGGGAAUGUAAAUUGGUGCAGCCACUGUGGAAAACAGUGGAAAAGUUCCUUAAAAAACUGAAACUGUAGCUACCACAUAACCCACCAAUCCAUCCUGGGUGCAUAUCCAGAAGAGAUAAAACUAAUUCAAAAAGAUACAUGCACCUCAACGUACACAGUAGCACCAUUUAUAAUAGCUAAGACAUGGAAACAAUCCAAGUGCCCAUCAACAGAAGACCAGAAGACUGGUUUAAAAAGAAGUGUGUGUGUGUGUGUGUGUGUGUGUGUGUGUGUGUGUGUGUGUAAUGAAAUAUUACUCAGCCAUAAAAAAGAAUGAAAUAAUGCCAUUUGCAACAACAUGAAUAGGCCUAGAAAAUAUCAUACUAAGUGAAUUAAAUCAGAGAAAGACAAAUUUAUAUGAUAUCACUUCUAAGUGGUAGAAUUAAAAAAACUACAAACAGAUCUAUAUAUGAAAUUGAAAAAGACCGACAUAAAAAACAAAAUUAUGGUUACCAAAGGAGAAAGGGAUGGGGAGUAGGGAUAAAUUAGGGAUAUGAGAUUAACAAAGUGCUAUGCAUAAAAUAAACAUAACCUUUAAGGGAAGAGAAUUUGAAAAGGAAGUGAUAUAUGUAUAACUGAUUCACUUUGCUGUACCCCUGAAACUAACACAUUAUUGUAAGUAAACUAUACUCCAGUAAAAUUUGAUAAAAAAAGGAUUUACCAUAUAACACAGAGAAUAAUAUUCUAUAAUAGAAAAUAAUCUGAAUAUGUGUGUAUAUAUAUGUAUACACACUGAAUACUUUUUCUGUACACCUGAAACUAAUACAAUGUUGUAUAUCAAUUAUACUUCAAAUUUAAAAAAUACAUUUUAAAAAUUCCCAUUCUACAGAUUGGAAAUUAAAGUACAGAAAGGUUGAGUCUUGCCCUAAAAGCCUCACAGAGUCCGAAGCCAUCCCCAAGUUCAUAUCCCUCCCAGUGCUCCCUAUUUCCCACAUAUGCAAAUUAAUAUUUUUCUUACUGUGGUUUGGAACCAGGUCAGCCACAUUAGAUUCAAGGGCUGCCUUGCUGAUAGCAUCUUGGAAGGCUCAACCCAAAGAUAGUUUUAGGGAAAUAUGGAGGGGAAAGGAUGGGCAAAGCAGAGGUAAGGGUCAGGGUGGUCAGCUUUCAUUCUACCCCUCAUUUCACACAUAUGGUCUCCAAUGACAUGUUCAGAACUGGGUUGGCAAAAAUCUAUAGGCAGAAAGGAGUGAAACCCUGAGAAUAGGAAUAAAAUGGGAUGGACAAGUUCCAGGGACCCAUCAAAAAAGUGGCAGGAGUUGGAGUUCGUGUCAUGGCACAACGAAACAAUCUGACUAGGAUCCAUGAGGAUGCAGGUUUGAUUCCUGGCCUCAAUCAGUGGGUUAAGGAUCUGUCACUGUUGUGAGCUGUGGUGUAGAUCACAGACUCAGCUUGGAUCUUUCAUUGCCGUGGCUGGGGUGUAGGCCAGCAGCUAUAGUUCUGAUUCAACCCCUAGCUUGGGAACCUUCAUAUGCUGAGGUGUGGCCCUAAAAAGCCAACAACAACAACAAAAAAAAAGGUUGGGGGGGGGAGGCAAGAGUGAAAAACAGAAAGGCUAGAAGGAACAUAAGACAGGGACAUGUCCAACAUGACAGUCCUAGAAAUAUGGAAAGUGAAAUAGCUGGAAGAGGGAAGAAAAUUUAAGGGGAAAGAUGUGAAUUAAGAAUUACAAUAAGAAUUAAGGUAAACGGACACAUUUAUUACUCUGGAAAUAUUAGACCUAUACUAUAGAAUAAAAUUGCUGCUGCUGAUUUCCACUUUCAAAGUGAUGCUACUGAUACAGAAAUAAAUGAUUCUGGUCAAAGAGAAAAUUUCAAAGCGAGAAAAACAAAGGGAAUGAUUAGAACUCUUAAAGAACCACCAACUUCAAGGAUCAGGGAAGGAGAAGAAAACAAAAACAAUAAUGGAGAAUAAGGAACAGAAAAAAAAAAUAAUAAGAGAAAUAGACGUGUCCAGAAAGUAUAGUCAGAGAAACCACUAAGAAGUUUAUAAAAGACGCAGAUUCCAAAGAGUCAAAUAGCACAGUUAUAGAGAACUGUAUAAGAUGGAGGACUCUUCUGGUGAUUUUCCAGAGAGAUGUUUCAACAUAGUUAUGAGGAUGAAAAACAGAUUCAACAGAUUAAAGAAAGUGGUAGCUGUGGUGGCUGUAUAAGAAGAAAAGGCACUGGGUCACAGCUAUGGAGUAAAAAGAAGAUGGUUUGGAUGCUAGUUAGAAAAACAAAGAUCUUUUUGUUUUCCAGUAGCAAUGGAAAAUAUGUUGAGAACCUGAAGCAUUAACCCUGGAUCCAAUAUAUUUAUGGAGGCUUCUCUACAGAUUGCUAAGGUAUACACAAAAAGGAUAUGGUUCUCUAAGAAUAUUAUGGUUUUCUACCGUAAUGUGAUUGGUCCCAUCUCUGAUAUGCAGUGUGCAUGAUAGGGGAGCUCUCCCUCAGGGAUUUCCAACCUUCUGAUUAGUACAGAAGAGAGUUGCUCUCAGCCUGCUUGCCAAUCAAGGUCCUCUAGCUUGUUCAUCAUUUGAAGAGAUUCUAUUGUGGGCCUAGAGACAACUGCUGAUAACUUGUUUAUCUCGGUGUCUUAAUCAUUUCCGGCUGUUACAACAAGUUACCAUAGCCUGGGUGACUUAAACAGCAGACAUCUAUUUCUCACAUUCUGGAGACUGGAAAGUCCAAGAUCAAGAUGCCAGUAGAUCUGUUGCCCAGUGAGAGCCUGGUUCCCAACUGAAGACAGCCUUCUCCUCACUGUAUCCUUACUUG
rnacentral:lncRNA from 1 species